GACGAACGCUGGCGGCGUGCCUAACACAUGCAAGUCGAACGAGUGGCGGACGGGUGAGUAACACGUGGGAACCUACCCAUCAGAGUGGGAUAACACUUGGAAACAGGUGCUAAUACUCCAUACUGAUGGAUGGUCCCGCUGUGCAUUAGCUAGUUGGUGAGGUAAUGGCUAACCUAGGCGACGAUCCCUAGCUGGGCUUGGAGGAUGAGCAGCCACACUGGGACUGAGACACGGGCCAGACUCCUACGGGAGGCAGCAGUGGGGAAUAUUGCACAAUGGGCGCAAGCCUGAUGCAGCCAUGCCGCGUGUAUGAAGAAGGCCCUAGGGUUGUAAAGUACUUUCAGUCGGGAGGCGUUACCGACAGAAGAAGCACCGGCUAACUCCGUGCCAGCAGCCGCGGUAAUAC
rnacentral:rRNA from 1 species